rnacentral:lncRNA from 1 species
UCGUUGGGGAUUUUUCAGAAGAGGAUAUCGAAUCUUGUGUAAUGGAUUACCUAGGCACGGUUACGAUCCAAUCAUCUUUAGACCGUCACCUCAAUCUCAUGAUUUGCAUUUUCAGCAAGUGUUCUUGAAGGACACUAAUGAGAGAGCAUGUGCUUACAUUGUUGGGCCUGCACCGAACCGUUGGGGAUAUGCAGUUGAUGGAACAGACUUUCUUGAGUCCAUAAGUAAAGUUUCAGUUAGUAAUGGUAAACUGAUACGGAUCAGUAGUUUGAUGCGGAUCAGUAGUUUGAUAACAAGAUCAGUAGAUAAAGGGUCAGUAGAUAAGGGAUCAGUAGUUAAAGGGUCAGUCAGCAGUGGAUUAGUCAACAGCAGAUGGGAGUGUUGAUUAAACAACAGUGGUUUGCGUGAUGAUUAGUAACAGGGGAUUGGGUUGUUAGUUAGUUAGGCAGUUAGGGUGGUAGUUGGUUAGUAGUUGUGUGAGUUGUUGUAAACUGGGUAUAAAAGAGAUAUGUUGUAAUAGAAUAGGUAUCUUAAAAAUAAUAACAAACUCUUCUUAG